rnacentral:tRNA from 1 species
AAUUAAUAAGCUUUUAAAGUAUUUGUCUUGAAAACAAAAGAAAGAAGUUUUACUCUUCUAUUAAUUU